UCCCGGUCCCGGCACCAGCUCUCCCAGAUCGAAACUGCUCCAUGAGACAGCACUGCCUCCCAGAUCCACCUCCGCCUCCACCUCCGCCUCGACCUGCCGCCCUCUCGAGACAACACCGCUGCUCCUCUCACCUAUCAUCGUCGCCUUCCUCCUCUCUCCUCCAACCGCUCUAGAACCCCCUCUCUUAGAUCCCUGCAACACCUACCCUGAUUCAAGUCUCUGAAUCCCACAUCCAAGCGUCGCCACUACCCUCUAUCCUCGACUCCUCCGACAUGCGUCUCAUGCUCAGCUCCAUGGAUGCUCUCAUGCACCGCAAUAUACUCGUUGCGCAGAGCGGGUUCUUCACCGCCAAGCUCUCGGACCGCUGGUCCAAUCAGCGGUGGACAUUGUCUCACAUUAACCAGAUCUCCGACUGGGACAACGUGGAGCAGAUAGACAUGGCGGUUCCGUCCCCUGCUCGACACCUCGCUGGUGCUGAUAGGCGCGCUCCGUGUCACUGCAGCAGAGCGGCACCAGACACAAUCCCCCACCUGGGCCGCCCUCACUCUGCUUAACGCCCCCUGCUUUUGCAACGUACAGCAACACCAGGUGGACUAAAUUUCUUGACAUUAAAUGCAGCAAGUUGAUACCAUCCACGUUUGAUACAGGUAGAUGUAUAUCAGCUAUAACUUCUGUUGCCAAUUUUGUAAACAAAUCUACUAUUCUGUAUACUGUCUUGAGCACUGCAUUGCAGAAUCGGGGGAGAGUUUAGGUUAGAAGCAUCGCCUCAAUGGUACUAUAUCUAUAUCAUCAAGAUUACGGGUGUGUUCUCUCUAAUAUACUUCCGUGUAAAUGCAUGUUUGUGAGUUUCUAAGAGAUACACUUGGUCUAAAAUAAUACGAGGUGUAGUAGGAGACCAUUUGAAAGUGUCAAUGUCAUGAUGCACUAAUUUCGUGAGAGAAUGGUUGCAUCUUCCACGAAUUUCCUGAUAAUGGUUUAUUUGAUUAUUCUUUUUUUUUUUCAGCAGAACUAAUGUAGAUGUGUUGAAACAAUCUUGCGUUGCCUGUUAUAGAUUAUCCAUUUUGGUUAUCUCGACUACGAAGCAUCGAUUUCUGUUCCAUGAUUCCAAAAUUCAUACUUUAUGCAAAGAGGAAAUGUUCCAAUUCCUUGUGGAACUAAGACAGUUGUACAAAAAGCAGCUUUCCAAAUUGUCUUGUAACCUUACAAUAAUUACUAGAUUAUUAGUAUUCACUUAUACUAUACAUGCAGAUAAGGGUGCCAUUGCCUGAGAUUAACUGAUGGUUGUGCCACUUAACUAUUCUUCAGGUUAUUGUUCUAUCUACGGUUCAUGACUCCUGUGCAUGCCCAGUGAAGGACAUGAUAAGUGCAGUGCUCAGUGUUUGCUUUCAUUUUGUGGAGUUUGUUUGCCAUGUCGAACCAUUUCAUAUGCGGCUUGAUGUCUUGUGUUAUGUAACAGACCAUUGUGUUGAUCCUUUCUACUACUACACAAUGUCAUGGUCCAAACAAUGAAAACCACGACUAAAAUUAGCAAGCAUUUGACUUCAGACAUGCACUAAGACACAGCUUUAAGACUAGUACCAUGAGAAUUGGCACAGGUGUUUUGCGUGAAUAGCGUGCUUUAAUUUAGUCGUUACACAUUUAUUUAGUUCCCCUUAAUAAUAACAUGAAACAGUGUACUCUUAUCUGUUCAAUAUUGUGUCAGGACAAGCCUCUGGCUGCUGAGGUAAAUGACAAAGCACUAGGAUUGAAGAGAUGGGAAAGGGGGGAGCAUACACUUGUUUGUUUGUUUUUCGUGAAAGAGCAUACACUUGUUAACACUUAACAGUAUGUAUUCAACCUGCACUUGUAUACUAGUGAUGACACAACAAUUACUUUAUUUUUGCUUGAGUGACCAGAAAAGAUGGCUUAAAAAAUGUGAUAUCAUUACGUGCAAAGGUAUGCAUCUUUUGCUUAUCUUGGUAUUGCCCUUUUCUAAAUAGAUUUUCUUAAUCGUGGUAACCAAACAGUGUGCUAUUCUAUGUUUAGGAUUCUUGUUUCCUUAAGAUAUGUUGCCACUUUUAUGCCUUAGUAUUCUUCUGUAUGUAGUGCAGAUUGUCUGUUAAGUAAAACCAGUGGUUCAGAGCAAAAUGAGAACAUCAAUAUUUAAAUAAGCAACGAUCUCUCUUUUUAUUUUCACAUGUCCCCUGAAAUUAUGUCCGGACAUUAUAUAUAUAAAAAGAUCACUGUACUUUCUUCUUUCCAUGUCACAAAUUUCAUAUGUAGUUUUUGCCUGUCCCAGUUUCAUAUCAGAUUAGGAGACAUAUUUUGCCUCGAGAAGUUGCACUUGUUAAAUACCUAAGUGCAUCUCGUUCAUAUUACAAUCUGCUGGUGUUGUGGUGUCAUUCCUAACUUCUGUGCUAUGAGAAUCUCUGUCAAAAUCAAAGUCGAGUGGCGGUGGUACUUCUAUCUGUUGUCAUUAUUACAACAAUAUAUUUUCAUUUGCAUACUUGUGUGACUUGUGUUGCCAUCACCUUCAGAUUAUUUUCAUUGGUCGUACCUUGUGAUCCCUAUGUUCAUGUAUCUCACAACUAGUUUGAUGACUUGUAGAGUGACACAAUGCUGGAGGUAGCCACAAUGGUGGGAGCAAUAUAUAUGGUGAUGAGCAUAUUACGAGUAACUCAACCGAGUGAAGUUCUCAAGCUAAGAUGUUGAUGGUGUUUGAUGUUUUUAGACCAUUAAUCUUUAGAAAAAUGUCAUCAUCAUCAGAGGACUAAAGGCAAGAGUUGUUCUUUCUAGGUUAUGAUGCAUGAACAUGAUUGUGGUUGAAUUUUGUGUCAUUUUCGGGCAACACAUAUAAAAAGAGAAUUAUGUUUGAAAAGAGGAGUAAACUAUAAUGUAGUAAGUUUUUUCUCAAAAGGAUAAUGCCAAAGUGUGGUUCAGAUGAAGGUAAGGA